CCUACGGGAGGCAGCAGUCGAGAAUCUUCCGCAAUGGGCGCAAGCCUGACGGAGCGACGCCGCGUGCAGGAAGAAGGCUUUCGGGUUGUAAACUGCUGUCACAUGUUAAGAAUUGCUACGUUUAAGCGCAGUUUGACAAAGGCAUGAGAGGAAGUCACGGCUAACUUCGUGCCAGCAGCCGCGGUGG
rnacentral:rRNA from 1 species